GACGAACGCUGGCGGCGUGCUUAACACAUGCAAGUCGAGCGGAAAGGCCCCUUGUGGGUACUCGAGCGGCGAACGGGUGAGUAACACGUGAGUAAUCUGCCCUUCACUUCAGGAUAGCUCCCGGAAACGGGGAUUAAUACUGGAUAUGACGCGCCUGCGCAUGUGGGUGUGUGGAAGGUUUUUUCGGUGGGGGAUGUGCUCGCGGCCUAUCAGCUUGAUGGUGGGGUAAUGGCCUACCAUGGCUUCGACGGGUAGCCGGCCUGAGAGGGUGACCGGUCAAACUGGGACUGAGACACGGCCCAGACUCCUACGGGAGGCAGCAGUGGGGAAUAUUGGACAAUGGGCGGAAGCCUGAUCCAGUAACGCCGCGUGAGGGAUGACGGCCUUCGGGUUGUAAACCUCUUUCAGCACAGACGUAGCGCAAGUGACGGUAUGUGCAGAAGAAGGACCGGCCAACUACGUGCCAGCCGCCGCAGUAAAAC
rnacentral:rRNA from 1 species